rnacentral:rRNA from 1 species
CAGCCGCCGCGGGAAUACGAAGGGUGCAAGCGUUAAUCGGAAUUACUAGGCGUAAAGCGCACGCAGGCGGUUUGUUAAGUCAGAUGUGAAAUCCCCGAGCUUAACUUGGGAACUGCAUUUGAAACUGGCAAGCUAGAGUCUUGUAGAGGGGGGUAGAAUUCCAGGUGUAGCGGUGAAAUGCGUAGAGAUCUGGAGGAAUACCGGUGGCGAAGGCGGCCCCCUGGACAAAGACUGACGCUCAGGUGCGAAAGCGUGGGGAGCAAACAGGAUUAGAUACCCGAGUAGUCCCUGUCUCUUAUAC